rnacentral:lncRNA from 10 species
GAGCAUUAGGGAAGGACGGGCCAAGCAAGGAUGGAUCUUGGGUAAAGCCGAGCUGUGACCUGAGGCCCAAGGGCCGCUGGGGCAUUUCCACAGGGCAGUCACACCGUCCUUCAGAGAAGGGGGCUGGCCUUUGUGCCUCCUCAACAGUUAGCCUCUGGCUGCAGUAGCAGGGCUAACCUCCCAGGUCACAGCAGCUUGGGACAAAGUCCCUGCCUGGUAAAAGAUCUGGCUGGUUCUUUCAGGGGAACGUAACAUCUGCAUGACUCAUGCGUGCAAACCACCCACACGCUAGGAAUCUGAAGUGGUUGCUCCUAGAAACAGAAAUAAACGACCAUCCAGUGAUGAAGAGUUUUCCCCAGCAAAGAGACAACUCCAGGGAAGAGCUUUCCAGUAACCUACAACGGCCGUGACACUGGGGGCAGAUCAGGAGUCUAUAAAUGACAUAUGACUAAGAAGCAGAGGGAUACCAGCUGCUUAUUGACAAAAUGGG